rnacentral:rRNA from 1 species
GACGAACGCUGGCGGCGUGCUUAACACAUGCAAGUCGAACGGAAAGGCCUUUUCGGAGGUACUCGAGUGGCGAACGGGUGAGUAACACGUGGGUGAUCUGCCCUGCACUCUGGGAUAAGCCUGGGAAACUGGGUCUAAUACCGGAUAGGACCGCACUUUAGUGUGUGUGGUGGAAAGUUUUUUCGGUGUAGGAUGAGCCCGCGGCCUAUCAGCUUGUUGGUGGGGUAAUGGCCUACCAAGGCGGCGACGGGUAGCCGGACUGAGAGGUUGGUCGGCCACAUUGGGACUGAGAUACGGCCCAGACUCCUACGGGAGGCAGCAGUGGGGAAUAUUGCACAAUGGGCGCAAGCCUGAUGCAGCGACGCCGCGUGGGGGAUGACGGCCUUCGGGUUGUAAACUCCUUUCCCCAGGGACGAAGCGUUUUGUGACGGUACCUGGAGAAGAAGCACCGGCUAACUACGUG